rnacentral:rRNA from 1 species
AGUGACGUCAAGUCCUCAUGGCCCUUAUGACCAGGGCUACACACGUACUACAAUGGCCGGUACAAAGGGCAGCGACACAGCGAUGUGAAGCGAAUCCCGAAAAGCCGGUCUCAGUCCGGAUUGGAGUCUGCAACUCGACUCCAUGAAGUUGGAAUCGCUAGUAAUCGCGGAUCAGCACGCCGCGGUGAAUACGUUCCCGGGCCUU